CCUACGGGUGGCUGCAGUAGGGAAUAUUGCUCAAUGGGGGAAACUCUGAAGCAGCAACGCCGCGUGAAGGAUGAAGGUUUUCGGAUUGUAAACUCCUUUUGUUAGGGAAGAUGAUGACGGUGUCUCACUAAUAAUCAGCGGCUAACUACGUGCCAGCAGCCGCGGUAAUAAGGAGGGUGCAAGCGUUACUCGGAAUGACUGGGCGUAAAGAGGGGGUAGGAGGGUUAGCAAGUAAGAUGUGAAAUCCUAAGGCUUAACCAUAGAACUGCAGUUAAAACUGUUAUUCUAGAGUAUGGGAGAGGUAGCUGGAAUUCUUGGUGUAGGGGUAAAAUCCGUAGAGAUCAAGAGGAAUACCCAUGGCGAAGGCGACCUGCUAGAACAUAACUGACGCUGAUGCGCGAAAGCGUGGGGAGCAAACAGGAUUAGAUACCCGAGUAGUC
rnacentral:rRNA from 1 species